UACGGAGGAGGCAAGCGUUAUCCGGAAUUAUUGGGCGUAAAGCGUCCGCAGGUGGCACCUCAAGUCUGCUGUCAAAGACCGGGGCUUAACCCCAGAAAGGCAGUGGAAACUGAAGUGCUAGAGUGCAGUAGGGGUAGAGGGAAUUCCCGGUGUAGCGGUGAAAUGCGUAGAGAUCGGGAAGAACAUCGGUGGCGAAAGCGCUCUGCUGGACUGCAACUGACACUCAGGGACGAAAGCUAGGGAGCGAAUGG
rnacentral:rRNA from 1 species